rnacentral:rRNA from 1 species
AAAUUGAAGAGUUUGAUCAUGGCUCAGAUUGAACGCUGGCGGCAGGCCUAACACAUGCAAGUCGAACGGUAACAGGAAGCAGCUUGCUGCUUUGCUGACGAGUGGCGGACGGGUGAGUAAUGUCUGGGAAACUGCCUGAUGGAGGGGGAUAACUACUGGAAACGGUAGCUAAUACCGCAUAACGUCGCAAGACCAAAGAGGGGGACCUUCGGGCCUCUUGCCAUCGGAUGUGCCCAGAUGGGAUUAGCUAGUAGGUGGGGUAACGGCUCACCUAGGCGACGAUCCCUAGCUGGUCUGAGAGGAUGACCAGCCACACUGGAACUGAGACACGGUCCAGACUCCUACGGGAGGCAGCAGUGGGGAAUAUUGCACAAUGGGCGCAAGCCUGAUGCAGCCAUGCCGCGUGUAUGAAGAAGGCCUUCGGGUUGUAAAGUACUUUCAGCGGGGAGGAAGGCGACAAGGUUAAUAACCUUGUCGAUUGACGUUACCCGCAGAAGAAGCACCGGCUAACUCCGUGCCAGCAGCCGCGGUAAUACGGAGGGUGCAAGCGUUAAUCGGAAUUACUGGGCGUAAAGCGCACGCAGGCGGUCUGUCAAGUCGGAUGUGAAAUCCCCGGGCUCAACCUGGGAACUGCAUUCGAAACUGGCAGGCUAGAGUCUUGUAGAGGGGGUAGAAUUCCAGGUGUAGCGGUGAAAUGCGUAGAGAUCUGGAGGAAUACCGGUGGCGAAGGCGGCCCCCUGGACAAAGACUGACGCUCAGGUGCGAAAGCGUGGGAGCAAACAGGAUUAGAUACCCUGGUAGUCCACGCCGUAAACGAUGUCGACUUGGAGGUUGUGCCCUUGAGGCGUGGCUUCCGGAGCUAACGCGUUAAGUCGACCGCCUGGGGAGUACGGCCGCAAGGUUAAAACUCAAAUGAAUUGACGGGGGCCCGCACAAGCGGUGGAGCAUGUGGUUUAAUUCGAUGCAACGCGAAGAACCUUACCUACUCUUGACAUCCAGAGAACUUUCCAGAGAUGGAUUGGUGCCUUCGGGAACUCUGAGACAGGUGCUGCAUGGCUGUCGUCAGCUCGUGUUGUGAAAUGUUGGGUUAAGUCCCGCAACGAGCGCAACCCUUAUCCUUUGUUGCCAGCGGUUAGGCCGGGAACUCAAAGGAGACUGCCAGUGAUAAACUGGAGGAAGGUGGGGAUGACGUCAAGUCAUCAUGGCCCUUACGAGUAGGGCUACACACGUGCUACAAUGGCGCAUACAAAGAGAAGCGACCUCGCGAGAGCAAGCGGACCUCAUAAAGUGCGUCGUAGUCCGGAUUGGAGUCUGCAACUCGACUCCAUGAAGUCGGAAUCGCUAGUAAUCGUGGAUCAGAAUGCCACGGUGAAUACGUUCCCGGGCCUUGUACACACCGCCCGUCACACCAUGGGAGUGGGUUGCAAAAGAAGUAGGUAGCUUAACCUUCGGGAGGGCGCUUACCACUUUGUGAUUCAUGACUGGGGUGAAGUCGUAACAAGGUAACCGUAGGGGAACCUGCGGUUGGAUCACCUCCUUACCUUAAAGAA